rnacentral:rRNA from 1 species
GGUCCCACCUGACCCCAUGCCGAACUCAGAAGUGAAACGCCGUAGCGCCGAUGGUAGUGUGGGGUCUCCCCAUGCGAGAGUAGGGAACUGCCAGGA